rnacentral:rRNA from 1 species
CUAAGGCUCCAGUGGAAGCCACGGCUAACUCUGUGCCAGCAGCUGCGGUAAUACAGAGGCGGCAAGCGUUGUUCGGAAUUAUUGGGCGUAAAGAGCACGUAGGCGGCCUUGCAAGUCAGUUGUGAAAGCCUUCCGCUUAACGGAAGAAUGCCAGCUGAUACUACAGGGCUUGAGUACGGGAGGGGAGAGUGGAACUUCUGGUGGAGCGGUGAAAUGCGUAGAUAUCAGAAGGAACGCCGGCGGCGAAAGCGACUCUCUGGCCCGAAACUGACGCUGAGUGUGCGAAAGCUAGGGGAGCAAACGGGAUUAGAUACCCCGGUAGUCCUAGCCGUAAA